AAACUUUUAACAACGGAUCUCUUGGUUCUGGCAUCGAUGAAGAACGCAGCGAAAUGCGAUACGUAAUGUGAAUUGCAGAAUUCAGUGAAUCAUCGAAUCUUUGAACGCACAUUGCGCCCCUUAGUAUUCUAGGGGGCAUGCCUGUUCGAGCGUCAUUA
rnacentral:rRNA from 1 species